CCUACGGGAGGUAGCAGUGAGGAAUAUUGGUCAAUGGGCGAGAGCCUGAACCAGCCAAGUCGCGUGAGGGAGUACUGCCCUAUGGGUUGUAAACCUCUUUUGUCGGGGAGCAAAAGCCGGACGUGUCCGGCUGUGAGAGUACCCGAAGAAAAAGCAUCGGCUAACUCCGUGCCAGCAGCCGCGGUAAUACGGAGGAUGCGAGCGUUAUCCGGAUUUAUUGGGUUUAAAGGGUGCGCAGGCGGAUUUUUAAGUCAGCGGUAAAAUCGUGGGGCUCAACCCCAUCCAGCCGUUGAAACUGGGGAUCUAGAGUGUGCGAGAGGUAUGCGGAAUGCGUGGUGUAGCGGUGAAAUGCAUAGAUAUCACGCAGAACCCCGAUUGCGAAGGCAGCAUACCGGUGCACAACUGACGCUCAGGCACGAAAGCGUGGGUAUCGAACAGGAUUAGAUACCCUGGUAGUC
rnacentral:rRNA from 1 species